GAGCAGUGGGGAAGGGGCUCUUUAUGCGGCAAGAAUUAAACUGCAGAAGGACUUGGAACUCGCAAUCUACGAGACAAUAAAGACACCUACAAGACAGAAAAUUAAAACCUGCCUGCAUAAUUUUUGCAAAGUGACAGGAAGAAGCACAUACACAGAUACCUGGGGCUGGGUCAGGCCGAAGCCAGGAGCCAGGAACUCUAUUCAAGUCUCCCACAUAGGUGGCAGGAACUCAAGUACUUCAGAUUGCCAACGUUUGGCCUUCCCAUCUCCGU